rnacentral:rRNA from 1 species
AGCUUGCUUUCUUGAGACCGGCGCACGGGUGCGUAACUGCGUAUGCAACCUACCUUUAUCUGGGGGAUAGCCCGGAGAAAUCCGGAUUAAUACCGCAUAAAAUCACAGUAUUGCAUAAUACAAUGAUCAAAUAUUUAUAGGAUGAAGAUGGGCAUGCGUGUCAUUAGCUAGUUGGCGGGGUAACGGCCCACCAAGGCGACGAUGACUAGGGGAUCUGAGAGGAUGGCCCCCCACACUGGUACUGAGACACGGACCAGACUCCUACGGGAGGCAGCAGUAAGGAAUAUUGGUCAAUGGAGGCAACUCUGAACCUGCCAUGCCGCGUGCAGGAAGACUGCCCUAAGGGUUGUAAACUGCUUUUAUCUGGGAAUAAACCUAUUUACGUGUAAGUAGCUGAAUGUACCAGAAGAAUAAGGAUCGGCUAACUCCGUGCCAGCAGCCGCGGUAAUACGGAGGAUCCAAGCGUUAUCCGGAUUUAUUGGGUUUAAAGGGUGCGUAGGCGGCCUGUUAAGUCAGGGGUGAAAGACGGUAGCUCAACUAUCGCAGUGCCCUUGAUACUGACGGGCUUGAAUGGACUAGAGGUAGGCGGAAUGAGACAAGUAGCGGUGAAAUGCAUAGAUAUGUCUCA